rnacentral:lncRNA from 1 species
UCUCUCAUCAUGAUUUCACCAACCUGAAACCACCACGUGCUUUGAGAUCAUCCUCUGUGAACGUUUCUUCCUUUGUUUCUGGCGCCGUUGUUGUCUACCACAAGCGAACGCCAUCUGCUUUCUCUGACGCUACCUGUUCAACGUCAUCUUUGGUUUGUCAUACUUAAUGCGAUCGUGACUUUGUUGCCAACAGAUCCCGCCGCUUAGCUCAACUUGCUAAGAAGACGUUCGAUGCAAAGAAUCUUUGCUCAACCUCUGCUCAAACAAAUCAUUACCUCUGCAACCGUGAUACCCUGUAGACCCAUUUGUUUCCCCCUCAUAUGCCCUGAGAAGCCAAAACAAACUACUACUGAAUCCCAUGCAGAAAACUCAAAACAUACAUGUUCCCAUCCCAAAAUCAAUCUCGAUUUGACACUGCCACCUGUUCAGCCGAACUCUGCCUUGAACAAGUAAACUCCUUGUUCUCGUAGAUCCAUCCCAGCAGAAAUCUAUGUGUUACGCCAAACACAUAUCUGCUUAGAAAACCACACUGCAUUCCCUCUGAAAAUAGCAGUCUUGUAGUAUCUUGUUCUCUGAACUUCUACCCGACUGUAGACUCUCAUAAUCACACAUAGACAAACCCGCAUGAGUCGAUCUC